rnacentral:lncRNA from 1 species
CUCCUCUGCACCUCUGCCUUUCUGUUCUGCAUUCCAUUCGGGGUCUGGGCUGACAGAUUCCUGCCUCCUUGCAGGAGUAGGCGCCCCCAAAGACUGCAGGGGUGGGGUAAGGUGUUUACCCCCCUCCUGAGUAGCAAUGCCCUGCUUCUUUUCCCAAGAGUGUGUCUACCCCAGCCAUACAGGAGAGAGAUUUGAGCCAAUUAUCCAGAGAAUUUGCUCUCACUAGGCAGCAAAUUCGAUUUUUUUCUGAACACCUAGACACACAUAAACACAGCUGGUUUGCAGAAAGGGGAGGUAGGAACUAAAUUCAUUGGUCCUUAGGCCAGAGUGCCUUUCCAUUCGAGGGGAGAACCAGGGAUGUGGGUAAGUGAAACACAAAUCCCCGAAAAAUUGAAAACAACCCCCACUACACCCACCUAAAACUAACAGACCAUAGAACUUUCUAGAAAGGGGUUGGACAGAGCUGACCCGCCUGCAGCGCACAGAAUCCCUAGCACUAGAGAGGGGAAAGGACUCUGGUCGCCCUGCCAUCGCCACAGUCAGGUAGGAACUUGCACAAUUUCCUCGGCUGUGGAGCACACAACCCUUGCGGUACAGACAGCCCCUUUCCUCCAAGGUCCAUCAAGUCAAUAAAGCCCUCCUCUUUCCCCAACGCGCUCAAACUGGAGGCGCCCUUAGUAAACCAAUAUCGGCCCACCCUGCCCCGGCCUCCGAGGAAUUUUCUCAAACGAAAAAGACCUUCUGGGGCCCGGGUCGGAACCAGCGCUGAGGCUGCGCUCCAGGCCCGGUGGGUUCUCGGCUUUGGUGAACUGCAUGCUUGCAAAGAGGGUGAAAAGGCCUCGGAUCUCGUCCUCCCCGUUCUUCCAUUCCGGGACUCCUUCCUGCCGCAAAUCACAAGCCUGAGGAGCCCGCUGCCUCCCAAACCGAGUGUGGCUGGAAUCCAGGAAAAGUCGGGGCCCCAGAUUUGGUGCGAAUUUGGGGAAGAGGAGGUUUCCCUCAAGCUCCUACGGCCAUCCAGUGUGGGAAGCCUACGGAGGAAAGACCCUGGCAGUUCUCGCAACCCUUUGACUGCUCCCCUGGAAGCGCCCCGAAGGCCGCUCCGCGGACUGGCCCCAGCCUGCCGUUCCUCGCCGGAGCUCGCCUGACCCACGCCGGCUGAGGCCGCGGGAGGCAAAACGAAUUCCAGGGAACUAGGGCCACUGCGCCCCAAACACCCACCUGGAGGUUCCUAGCCCAAGGCCGCGUCUUCGAGGGCAGAGGCUGGCUGAGCGCCGAACCACCCUCAACUGGAAAAUUCGUGCAGAAUCGCAAUCCAGAGAGAAAAGGCGCACUUGGUGGCAGCUGAGUUUGAACGGGAUCUGCGCGGGCGAGACCAAAGCCAGACCCGGGCAAUGCCCGGAGCACUGCGGGGUUCGCGUGGACCAGGAAGCUGGGAGGGUGUG